rnacentral:misc_RNA from 1 species
CUGGGCUUCUAGCAGUGACGAAAGCCUAAAUCGUCAAAUUAGAAAUAAUGAGAAACUUUUGCAUAUGACUAUCAAUAUAUGCAUACCACCGAGUAUCGACAUUUCUUUUGUACUCGAUCCAUUUCAGCUCAGCUCAGCUCAACUAAACCCUGCUCUCAAAUUUGUUAGGGUGCAGUUAUAAAGAACCGUUUUCUUCUUUUCUGUUUUGUAUAGGGAUCAAUAUUUCUUGGUAAAACCACAAUAUGAUGGAUUAUGCAAAUACACGCCAAACAAGAAGGUGGCAUCAUAUGCAAGACUCUGAAUUCUGGUGGUGGUGGAAAAUUUUGCUGGCUGUCAAUUCCAGUUGAAUCUCCAUAACCGCUAGUUAGUUGUUGAUUUAACCUUGAUGCCAUUAAGAAAAAUCUCAGGAAUAUGACCUAUCUUAGGCCAAUCCUCGCCAGUUUCUGGAUCACACCUUUCACGUAGUUCAGGACAAAGUCCAAUCUUCAGUUCUCUCAAGGCAGUGAGGCAGUGCAUCUCCUCCG